GGGUCAGUAGGUUGGUCGUGCCACCGGUACGUACUGGUCUCACUGAUUCCUCCUUCCUGAAGAACCGUAAUGCCAUUAAUUUGGUGUUGCGGGGAAACAGGACUGUCACCUUGAAAAAAUUAGAGUGUUUAAAGCAAGCUAACGCUUGAAUACAUUAGCAUUGAAUAAUGAAAUAGGACGAUCGAUCCUAUUUUGUUGGUUUCUAGGAUUGACGUA
rnacentral:rRNA from 1 species